UACAGAGGUCUCAAGCGUUGUUCGGAUUCAUUGGGCGUAAAGGGUGCGUAGGCGGCGCGGUAAGUCGGGUGUGAAAUCUCGGAGCUUAACUCCGAAACUGCAUUCGAUACUGCCGUGCUUGAGGACUGGAGAGGAGACUGGAAUUUACGGUGUAGCGGUGAAAUUCGUAGAUAUCGAGAAGAACACCGGUGGCGAAGGCGGCCAUCUGGACGGUGACUGACGCUGAGACGCGAAAGCGUGGGGAGCAAACAGG
rnacentral:rRNA from 1 species